AGGGUUUGAUUCUGGCUCAGGACGAACGCUGGCGGUGCGCCUUAUGCAUGCAAGUUGAGCGAAGCUUUUUGGUAGUUUACUACUAGAAAUGACUGAGCGGCGAACGGGUGAGUAACGCGUGAGCAAUCUACCUUAGUUACUGGGAUAGCCCGAGGAAACUCGGAUUAAUACCGGAUAUUCUUAUUUUUUCACAUGAAGUUUUAAGGAAAGGUCAGCCGAACUAAGAUGAGCUCGCGUUCUAUCAGCUAGUUGGUGGGGUAAAAGCCUACCAAGGCUACGACGGAUAGCUGGUCUGAGAGGACGAUCAGCCACACUGGGACUGAGACACGGCCCAGACUCCUACGGGAGGCUGCAGCAGGGAAUAUUGUGCAAUGAGCGAAAGCUUGACACAGCGACACCGCGUGUGGGAUGACGGUUCUAGGAUUGUAAACCACUUUCAGGAGGGAAGAAAAUGACGGUACCUCCACAAGAAGACCCGGCCAACUAUGUGCCAGCA
rnacentral:rRNA from 1 species